rnacentral:tRNA from 1 species
GGCUAUGUAGCUCAGUUGGUUAGAGCACAGCACUCAUAAUGCUGGGGUCGCUGGUUCAAAUCCAGCCAUAGCCACCA